CUCUUGCCGGUGAAAGGAACUCCAUUCGAUUUCACCGAGGAGAAACGUAUAGGCGAGCGUAUUGGAGAGGUGGGGAUAGGAUAUGAUCACAACUACGUGUUGGACUGUGCUGAUCAAGAGAAGGACGGGCUGAAACACGCGGCGAAGCUAAGAGACGGUGAGAGCUCAAGGGUGAUGGACUUGUGGACCGAUGCUCCUGGGGUGCAGUUUUAUACGGGGAACUAUGUGGAUGGAGUGGUGGGGAAAGGGAAUGCGAUUUAUGGGAAGCAUGCAGGUGUGUGCCUUGAGACGCAGGGGUUCCCGAACGCGAUUAACCAGAAGAGUUUCCCGUGUGUUGUGGUCAAGGCUGGUGAGAAGUAUAAGCACACGAUGUUGUUUGAGUUUUCAGCUUGAGUGACACUGGUG
rnacentral:lncRNA from 1 species